rnacentral:rRNA from 1 species
UGGGGAAUAUUGCACAAUGGGCGCAAGCCUGAUGCAGCCAUGCCGCGUGUAUGAAGAAGGCCUUCGGGUUGUAAAGUACUUUCAGCGGGGAGGAAGGGAGUAAAGUUAAUACCUUUGCUCAUUGACGUUACCCGCAGAAGAAGCACCGGCUAACUCCGUGCCAGCAGCCGCGGUAAUACGGAGGGUGCAAGCGUUAAUCGGAAUUACUGGGCGUAAAGCGCACGCAGGCGGUCUGUCAAGUCGGAUGUGAAAUCCCCGGGCUCAACCUGGGAACUGCAUUCGAAACUGGCAGGCUAGAGUCUUGUAGAGGGGGGUAGAAUUCCAGGUGUAGCGAUGAAAUGCGUAGAGAUCUGGAGGAAUACCGGUGGCGAAGGCGGCCCCCUGGACGAAGACUGACGCUCAGGUGCGAAAGCGUGGGGAGCAAACAGG